CUAAGGUAGCGAAAUUCCUUGUCGGGUAAGUUCCGACCUGCACGAAUGGCGUAACGAUCUCCACACUGUCUCGGCCAGAGACUCGGUGAAAUUGCAGUCGCGGUGAAAAUUCCGUGUACCCGCAGAAAGACGGAAAGACCCUGUGCACCUUUACUAUAGCUUGACAUUGGAUUUUGGGCCUGCAUGUGUAGGAUAGGUGGGAGGCUGUGAACCCUGUACGCCAGUAUGGGGGGAGCCAUCCUUGAAAUACCACCCUUGCAUGUUUAAGAUCCUAACUUCUUCCGGUUAUCCCGGAGAAAGACAGUGUCUGGCGGGUAGUUUGACUGGGGCGGUCGCCUCCUAAAGUGUAACGGAGGCAUGCAAAGGUUCCCUCAGCCUGAUCGGAAACCAGGCGCUGAGUGCAAACGCAUAAGGGAGCUUGACUGUAAGAGAGACAUCUCGAACAGGAACGAAAGUUGGCGUUAGUGAUCCGGUGGUCCCGAAUGGAAGGGCCAUCGCUCAUUGGAUAAAAGGUACGCCGGGGAUAACAGGCUGAUCGCAUCCAAGAGUUCACAUCGACGAUGCGGUUUGGCACCUCGAUGUCGGCUCAUCACAUCCUGGGGCUGAAGCAGGUCCCAAGGGUACGGCUGUUCGCCGUUUAAAGUGGUACGCGAGCUGGGUUUAAAACGUCGUGAGACAGUUUGGUCCCUAUCUUCUGUGGGCGAAGGAGAAUUGAGAGGGCCUGUCCCUAGUACGAGAGGACCGGGAUGGACGCACCCCUGGUGAUCCUGUUGUCGCGCCAGCGGCAUAGCAGGGUAGCUAUGUGCGGAAGGGAUAACCGCUGAAAGCAUCUAAGCGGGAAGCCUGCCUCAAGAUAAGUUCUCCCCUCGAAAGAGCUGAAGGGCCCGGGUAGACUACCCGGUCGAUAGGCUGGAGGUGUAAGCGCGGCGACGUGCUCAGCUGACCAGUACUAAUAGCCCGAGCGGCUUAUUUUU
rnacentral:rRNA from 2 species